UACACUUUUGCAAGUGACAUGAUUCCUUUGUUUUCUUUAUAUAUUUGACUCUCUACACUCAUGCCCGUCCCUUGGCCCGUGCGGCCUGUGCGACUGCACAGGGACCCCAAUUUUCAGGGGCCUCUGAAAUAUUUCAGCCCAUAUACAUGUAUUCCUAUUUUUUCAGCCCAACAAAGCUAUUUCUCUUGUAUAGCAACGCCCAGGCCUUUUUCUAGCACCGUGACUCCAAUUCUGAUCGGUUUCUUUUCCCGAUCGUAGACCUGGGAGCCGCCUGUUAGUGUUCGGUGUUCCUCAUCGACAAACGCCGCAACAGGGACUAGCUCACCAGAGCCAUCGUUGAUCGCUUCUGCAGCGCUUGCCAUCGUCGGCCAUUGCGAUUGGGAGCAGCGCAAACGCAUCAAUUUGUUCAACGAGACGACGAUCAUCCCAUCAGGGCAGCUAUUGAAGUCAUAUUUGUGUUCUACAAUGACACAAGAUAGACUGAAUGAUUUGGCCAUAAUCGCACUCGAGAGUGAGAUGUUGGAGAAGAUUGCAUAUGAGAACAUCGUCGAAGAUUUCAUUUCAAAGAACACCAAAAGAAUGAUGUUGUUCAAGUAAAGACUAUGCAAUCGAGGUUCGAAAUGGGCCUCUGAUUUUGUCGGGAUGGCCCUGUCUACACUCUAUAAGCAUUGGUGAGUUUGCCAUGCAUCGAAAUUUGAGAGCUAAAGGCUUGAAGGUGAAGCAUGUCAUUCGCAUAUUUUUUGCUUGUGGCCAUUUGUGUGUGGCUUCUUUACAAUAUCAAGAAUCCACGAGACAUGAAGAACGAUGAGAAAAUCGGGAGGAAGGAGCUGAGGCCGCGGAUGGAUGGGGUUGAGAGAGGCAGAGGCGAAGAAGUGGAGAGUGGAGAGCGCGAUGGCGAAGAGAUGGAUGAAUGGGAGAAGGAGAGGAGCGGAGAGGUUCGAGUUGAGGUAGAAGUAGAGCAUGAUCAAAUGCAAGAUCUCAUUGAUGAAGACGACAAGGAUUAAUUUUUGGGAUUUUCAUGAAAAAAGAAGAGGUGGAUUGAUGAAUAUUGUAUGAUUUGAAGGCAACCAAAAAUGCAACUUUUUUUAGAGGUGUGUAUAGUACAAAGUUUGUGUGUUUUAAUUGUAUAGCAUUUAUUCUUGGUGAAUAAUCAAAAGCAUCUUUGUGUGGAGCUAAAUAAGACAACUAUUUAGAGAUGGAGAAAGUAAUGUGCAAGUUGAGAAAUUUUCAAAA